rnacentral:rRNA from 1 species
UGGGGAAUAUUGGACAAUGGGCGAAAGCCUGAUCCAGCCAUGCCGCGUGUGUGAAGAAGGUCUUCGGAUUGUAAAGCACUUUAAGUUGGGAGGAAGGGCAGUAAGCGAAUACCUUGCUGUUUUGACGUUACCGACAGAAUAAGCACCGGCUAACUCUGUGCCAGCAGCCGCGGUAAUACAGAGGGUGCAAGCGUUAAUCGGAAUUACUGGGCGUAAAGCGCGCGUAGGUGGUUCGUUAAGUUGAAUGUGAAAGCCCCGGGCUCAACCUGGGAACUGCAUCCAAAACUGGCGAGCUAGAGUAGGGCAGAGGGUGGUGGAAUUUCCUGUGUAGCGGUGAAAAGCGUAGAUAUAGGAAGGAACACCAGUGGCGAAGGCGACCACCUGGGCUCAUACUGACACUGAGGUGCGAAAGCGUGGGGAGCAAACAGG